UACAGAGGUUCCAAGCGUUGUUCGGAUUCAUUGGGCGUAAAGGGUGCGUAGGCGGCGCUGUAAGUCGGAUGUGAAAUCUCAGGGCUCAACCCUGAAAUUGCAUUCGAUACUGCAGUGCUCGAGGACUGGAGAGGAGACUGGAAUUCACGGUGUAGCAGUGAAAUGCGUAGAUAUCGUGAGGAAGACCAGUGGCGAAGGCGGGUCUCUGGACAGUUCCUGACGCUGAGGCACGAAGGCCAGGGGAGCGAACGGG
rnacentral:rRNA from 1 species